GACGAACGCUGGCGGCGUGCCUAACACAUGCAAGUCGAGCGGGAACCUCAGGAGGGGUAACCCUCCUGAGGGGAGAGCGGCGAACGGGUGAGUAACACGUGGGCAACCUGCCCCGGACACCGGGAUAACCCAGGGAAACCUGAGCUAAUACCGGAUACUCCGGCGAGAUCGCAUGGUCGCGCCGGGAAAGCUCCGACGGUCCGGGAUGGGCCCGCGGCCUAUCAGCUUGUUGGUGGGGUAACGGCCCACCAAGGCGACGACGGGUAGCUGGUCUGAGAGGACGGCCAGCCACACUGGGACUGAGACACGGCCCAGACUCCUACGGGAGGCAGCAGUGGGGGAUCUUGCGCUAAUGCGCGAAAGCGUGACGCAGCGACGCCGCGUGGGGGAUGAAGGCCCUCGGGUUGUAAACCCCUUUCGGCAGGGAAGAAGCGAGAGUGACGGUACCUGCAGAAAAAGCAUCGGCUAACUACGUGCCAGCAGCCGCAGUAAUAC
rnacentral:rRNA from 1 species